GGAGAACAACCAAUUUUUGGUGGUCAAAUCUUUCCUUCAGUUGUGUCCAUAAAGACAAAGGAUCUUUGACUGUUAAAUACUCAGUCUUUAAUCCUUCAUCAAUAUGGUGACGAAUAAAAAUUAUGGCUUUUGCAUUUUGUGCCGAAGUAGCUGUAUUUCCUGAUUCAAUAGUCUUUUCUAACUCAUUUGCACUAAGGUGUAAUUCUGCAUCAAGUGCCCAAGCCAAAUAGUUGUCUCCAGAUAUUUUCAAAAUAGAAAAAUCUAUUUUUGCCAAGUUUGCCAUCUAUUCUGGGUUAAAACACAAUUUUAUUAUUUAUUAAAACAAUAAAUAAUUGCAUGUAUGAAAUAUGAAAAAUAAACUACGUCACGAUCUCAAGUGGUGAUAAAAUGCAAAUAUAAAUAUUCUUAUAUUUAUGUUAUUAGCAUAAUGCAAAUGGAUCUUCACCCGGCAUGCGGUAGUUCGCUUAGACAGAUUAUUCCAACAGAAUAAUAAAUAAUGAAAUAACAGAAGAAUUUCACCAUGCAUGCGAUAGACCGACCGUACAGACAGGUUAUUCCCAACAGAAUAAUAAAAAACAGAACCACGUCAGGCGAAAUUCGCACCGACAGGAUAUUCCAACAGAAUAAUAAAUGCGGAAUAAUAAAUAAUGGAACCAGGUCAGGUGAAAUUCACACCGACAUGAUAUUUCGACAGAAUAUUAAAUGUGGAAUAAUAAAUAAUGGAACCAGGUCAGGUGAAAUUCACACCGACAGGAUAUUCCGA
rnacentral:lncRNA from 1 species